UACGUAGGCGGCAAGCGUUGUCCGGAUUUAUUGGGUUUAAAGGGUGCGUAGGUGGUCAAUUAAGUCAGUGCUGAAAUAUCCCGGCUUAACCGGGAGGGUGGCAUUGAUACUGAUUGACUUGAGUAGAGUUGAGGUAGGCGGAAUUGACGGUGUAGCGGUGAAAUGCUUAGAUAUCGUCAAGAACACCGAUAGCGAAGGCAGCUUACUAAGCUCAAGCUGACACUGAUGCACGAAAGUGUGGGGAUCAAACAGG
rnacentral:rRNA from 1 species